rfam:Beta vulgaris subsp. vulgaris chromosome 6, whole genome shotgun sequence.
AUACCUUUCUCGGCCUUUUGGCUAAGAUCAAGUGUAGUAUCUGUUCUUAUCAGUUUAAUAUCUGAUACGUGGGUCAUUGACCCACAACGAUAUUAAAUUUAUUUUUUAAGGGGGUGAAUCCAUCACAGUAGCUUGCUACUGGGAUUCUUAAGUGUCGCCCAUGCGUUGCACUACUGCACGGGCCAGGCACAUCCCAA